rnacentral:rRNA from 1 species
GACGAACGCUGGCGGCGUGCUUAACACAUGCAAGUCGAACGAAGAGCGAUGGAAGCUUGCUUCUAUCAAUCUUAGUGGCGAACGGGUGAGUAACGCGUAAUCAACCUGCCCUUCAGAGGGGGACAACAGUUGGAAACGACUGCUAAUACCGCAUACGAUCUAAUCUCGGCAUCGAGGAUAGAUGAAGGGUGGCCUCUACAUGUAAGCUAUCACUGAAGGAGGGGAUUGCGUCUGAUUAGCUAGUUGGAGGGGUAACGGCCCACCAAGGCGAUGAUCAGUAGCCGGUCUGAGAGGAUGAACGGCCACAUUGGGACUGAGACACGGCCCAGACUCCUACGGGAGGCAGCAGUGGGGAAUCUUCCGCAAUGGACGAAAGUCUGACGGAGCAACGCCGCGUGAGUGAUGGCGGCCUUCGGGUUGUAAAGCUCUGUUAAUCGGGACGAAAGGCCUUCUUGCGAAUAGUGAGAAGGAUUGACGGUACCGGAAUAGAAAGCCACGGCUAACUACGUG